CAGUCAGAGAUGGAUUCCAAGACAAAACUGUGUUUGCCCUGUUUGUGAAUGUUGAUCAUAGUUUGUGGGGCAGACAAAGGGGAGAAGGGAGUGAUGUCAGGGCAACUUUCCUCAGUAGGAGAACAAUUGCAAGUGCUGAGGAAUGAUCAACCAUGAGGUGGUCAGGAGACAUCAGAGAAGUUGACAGAGUGCAGCUGUUAUGCACUGAGGCAGUUCCUGCCUCAGCCUACCAGCAGGAACUCCAGGAGAAGUCAACCACUAUGCUAUGAAGCAGCUCAGUGAAGAGGCUCAAGUAAAGAGCCUGGAAGCUGAUCUUAGGACACUGCAAAUCUAUUACCAGUUCGAGGCUCAAGUUGAAUGCAGGACUUUUCAACUUCAGCACUGUUGACAGCUUUGACCAGACAACAUCAAGAUGAGCUGGUUUACAGAACCAGCAGCUAGCAUAAUGGCUAUGUUGCUGGAUUCCCAUGUAGCCAACUGCGGUUUGAUGC